rnacentral:rRNA from 1 species
UACGGAGGGGGCUAGCGUUGUUCGGAAUUACUGGGCGUAAAGGGCGCGUAGGCGGCGCGAUAAGUUGGGCGUGAAAGGCCCGGGCUCAACCCGGGGACUGCGCUUGAUACUGUCGCGCUGUGAGUCCGGGAGAGGAUGGCGGAAUUCCCAGUGUAGAGGUGAAAUUCGUAGAUAUUGGGAAGAACACCGGUGGCGAAGGCGGCCAUCUGGACCGGCACUGACGCUGAGGUGCGAAAGCGUGGGGAGCAAACAGG